rnacentral:sRNA from 1 species
UUGUGUUGGGUCGGGGUGGGAUGUGGUUGGGGUGGACACACACUUUCCAUUCCUGUGACACUUGGUUGGCACAAUCUUCCCCAUCAGUGUGAGACCCUGUGAGGCAAAAGACCUCUCACCUGUCCCUACAGCCAUUUCUGACAUUUCCUGCUAACUAGAUAACACAAGAAGGUUUCCACUCCCAGGAUGGAGGGCUCACUCUCCCUAGGACUUUGGGGACCCUUGCUCAUCUCACAGGCCCAAUGAUUUGGGUGGCCCUGCCACCUCCACUCUCUCUUGCCUUUAGACUAAUUGCCAAGUGGAACAGACCCAGAAAACAAAUAGUUUCCACCCACAGACACCCAGGGGAGCAGGCUGGAUGAGUUCACACCCCCCAAAACUUCCACCUGCUCCUCUGUACGAACCCAAUGCUCCAGAGCUCUCUUCUAAAAUAACAUCAAAAGAAUGUACUCCCUUGCUUAACACCCCCAGUUCUAGGUAACAUCUUCAGAGCAUUCCAAAGUGCACAUCUACAGGGGAGUGCAGGGGACACAAAGACUGAACUGCUUGCCUUCCUACCUGGCCUGUUAGCUUGGGUUAAGUUCAAUGUAGGUCAGACAGCAUACCCCUGGGGCACACCGUCCCGUCCCUUUCUCCAGGCCUCUCAAUACUUCCUCAGAAUUUUCCUUCCUUUGGAUCCACUUGUCUGCAGUUCAGGAGUCAGUGCAGGGGCCAAGACUCAGCAGCCUCCCCUAAAGUGAAGCUGACCUUGGGUACCCGCCUUCCCCCACUUCCCAUUUCCUACAAAUCUCCUUAACUUGGUUCCAACCACACCUCACCCCCACCUCAGUCCAAGGCAAGCUCAGAGACACCCUGACUAUUCUGUUCAUAGUCACAUUCCCAGAGCCUGCCACACCUCAGAAGUCAAACAACCACUCACAAAGCAAAGGAAAAAACUACAAUAAAACCAGAACCCAAUUCCCAAAGCUCUGUGAGCCCUGCUUUUUCAGUCUUCAAUAUAGGAGUGCAGAGCUCAGUGUGGAGAACCCAUAGUCCCAGCUCCUUGUGAAGCUGAGGCAGGACGAUCACUGGAGAGAAUAGCCCAGGGAAGAGGGAAGACCUCAUCUUAAAAAGCUAAAUGUUUUCAGCCUAGUACCAGCUUGGUGGGAUAAGGGAGGUGCCCUGUUGACUUGAAUGGAGAGGCAGUAAGACAGUCUUCUAAGGUAACUUUCCAUUAGACCACUGAGGUCACUUAACACAGGAAAAAAUAACACACACUGGGACCCAAACAUGUGCACUGACCUGCUUCCAGUAGGAAAAGGUUGUACCCCUCAUAUCCCAAGUGACUGACUCCCUAGAUAUCUGAAAUGUCUGAGGCUGGUGCUUCCAAGAGUGUGCUCCCGGGCAGUGGUAGGAGGCCAGGGCUAGGAUUUGGACAGGGGGAGGGAAACUGCAAACACAGGCCUGCAUGUGGACUGGUGAAUCCUGACAAAGGCCAGGGAUGCAGUAGACAUUCUGGGACCCCUGACUCCGUUUGAUGGCAGGACCUCUACUCACCACCAUAGGAAGGAAGGAGGCUUGUGUUUGGCCAUCAUCCUAACGUGGUAGGCAGCAGGGUAUGUGUUAAAUUGCUUUGUUUAGGAGAAGGAACUUGGGGUUCCAGAAUGCCUGGGUCGCUCAGUCUGUCUUCCUCAUCUGAGAUGUUGCCAACCUAUUCCCAUAGGCUUAUUUGCAUAGUGUCAUGGUCACUUAACCUGUGUCCUACCCUGGCCCCAACACCAAAACCAGAGAAAUAACACCGGUAAAUAUUAGCCACUUUCAUCUCAUAAUCUGUUCCCUCAUGCUAUUCCUUCUCUGAGACCCUCUGAUCCCUCCUCUCUGUGAUAGGCAGUUGCUGCAGGGACCACCCUACCCCACUGCAUAGUUCUCUGGCCUGGAUACUUAGCUGGAGUUGAAGUUCCCAUGGUUACUACCGGUGCAUAUUUAUUGAACAUGUGGAUGUGCUCAGCACUGUGUGAGGCACUGUCCAUACACCAGCAUCCCCACAAUGUUGCCCUGCCCACUGCUACAUCCUCACAGAUGCAUCAAUGAGUCCUUGGCACACAGAAACAUGCCCAGGUUAUGACUUUCUUCCUGAGGCUGCUGGCUAUAAGAGCUGGCUCCAUCUGGGGAAGCAGACACCAGAAACCCGUGAGAGGGCAGAGGAGAGACAGAUCCAGGCCCUCCAGAGGGAGAGAGGCAAGGGGCUGAGGACUUGAUCAUUUAACUGGCACUACAAGACUCAGGUACUGUACAAACAUUCUCUCCUCACAGGGCUGAGCAGAGGAGUAAGGGUACUAAUAGAGAAGCUGAAGAAGCCAUAGAGGUCAGGCUGCUGGAAAUGCUGGCCCUGAAGCAGAAAGCCCUACCUCCAAGCCUUGCUUCAGUCUGGAGCCACUGACCCAUGCUUUGCCACUGCAGAAAGAACAACAGAGGCUUAGAAUCCCUUCACCUCCAGCCCAGGCCCAUCCUAGGAGGUUCCUGGAUAUGAAGUCAGGCCUCUCCCCUUUGUCAGUGACAAGACAGGCAGACACUUCCAGGAGAGGAAAAGGAAAAGACCCGGAAGUAGCAGCAAUGAGAUGGGCAGGAGGGCAGGCGUUGCACACUAGGGGUGGGGGAGGGUACCAGCACCUUUGAGAUGGAGCGGCCAAGGGCAUGAACCUCGGUGCUGGAUGCUGUUGGCCCCGGAGCUAGAGGGAUGACCUGUGGGAUGACGACUGCAUAGCGACAUGGGCACCUCGAUGCGUUUAAUGAAAGUAAAUAACUAGAGGGGCUUUGUAAAAACUGCCUUUCGGAAGCAGGACAGACGCUUAGCUGCUGAGCCCUGGCAAAUCUUCAGCACCAAACGAAACAAAACACAGCACACGUGCACAGGCCCACUGCCACCACUGGACUGCACUCCCAACACGGUGAGCACUUACAUGGGUGGGCCUCAGUGGCACUAACAGUUAUGAUAGCUUCCUGCCAAUUCUGGGAUUGCGACCCCAAAGCAAAGGUCCCUUCUCAGGUCCUGCCUGGCACCUAGCUGUUUGAUAUGAGGUGGCUGUCAACCCAGGUGGAGAACACCAUCCAUUCAGAUCACUGCGGGUCAGGAGGGCAAACCAGUGAAAUUUGGAAGUCUGAUUAGUGGGUGGACCCCCUUCAGAGACCCACAGGCUGCCUGCCCUGAAGAGAAGCAGGAAAUUCUGCCCAAGUGGAAGGUUUCUGGGGCUCUCCACAAUUGGAAGGCUCUCAUACUGGCUGGAGACUCCAUAGAAGGCACUGGUCAUCGAUGUUGGUGUUGAGGUCUGCCUUCCAGAGACAGAGGAAGAAGGGAAGCUCCUCAGGAAAGGAAGGCAAUUCAAAAAGUGUCAAAACUGUCCCUGAACUGAUCAGAUUCACUAGGCUCUUGCCCUGUCAGAGUGAAAGCAAGAUGAGCUGCAAAGAAGACUCUCAAAGGAACCAACCUCAGACCAGCUGUCUUGAAGAAGUUUAGACCAACUGAGGCACCUGGAAAGGACAUUAAGCCAUCUACAGGCUGUGCAGUUUCUCCAGGUCUCCAGCUUUUGUGAGCUGACACCAUG